rnacentral:piRNA from 1 species
UAAAGUCUCAUGUGUUGCCUUUGACAUUAA